rnacentral:rRNA from 1 species
AUGCAAGUCGCGGGGCAGGCACGGGUAGCAGUACCUGGUGGCGACCGGCCGCACGGGUGCGUAGCGCGUAUGCAACCUGCCCCCAUCAGGGAAUAGCCCGCCGAAAGGCGGAUUAAUGCCCAUAGGCCCAGGCGCCGCAUGGCGCUAUGGGUAAAGCUCCGGCGGAUGGGGAUGGGCAUGCGUGCCAUUAGCUAGUUGGGCGGUAACGGCGCACCAAGGCGACGAUGGCUAGGGGUCUGAGAGGAUGGUCCCCCACACUGGUACUGAGACACGGACCAGACUCCUACGGGAGGCAGCAGUGAGGAAUAUUGGUCAAUGGGCGGAAGCCUGAACCAGCCAUUGCCGCGUGCAGGAUGACGGCCCUACGGGUUGUAAACUGCUUUUCCCCGGGAAGAAUAAGCCCCUCGUGAGGGGUGAUGCCGGUACCGGGGGAAUAAGGAUCGGCUAACUCCGUGCCAGCAGCGGC